CUGGACGCGUCUUACGGCGCACCCAGAUACCCUUUGUGAACCUAUACCCUUCUGUUGCCUCGGCGCAGGCUGGGAGCUUUUGUAAACUCCCCCUCGCGGACACCUGUCUGCGCGGAGCCAGCCCGCCGGCGGCCCUACCAAACUCUUGUUUUUACACCUGUUUCUUCUGAGGACUAAACACAAAAUGAAUCAAAACUUUCAACAACGGAUCUCUUGGUUCUGGCAUCGAUGAAGAACGCAGCGAAAUGCGAUAAGUAAUGUGAAUUGCAGAAUUCAGUGAAUCAUCGAAUCUUUGAACGCACAUUGCGCCCGCUGGUAUUCCAGCGGGCAUGCCUGUUCGAGCGUCAUUUCAACCCUCAAGCUUAGCUUGGUGUUGGGGCGCGGCUGCUCCCGCUACGGGCGCGGCCGGCUCUGAAAUACAGUGGCGAGCUCACUAGGACUCCGAGCGUAGUAGUUUUCAACCUCGCUAUGGACGGCCUAGUGGUGCCCUGCCGUAAAACCCCCCAAUUUCUGAAUAGUUGACCUCGGAUCAGGUAGGAAUACCCGCUGAACUUAAGCAUAUCAAUAAGCGGAGGAAAAGAAACCAACAGGGAUUGCCCUAGUAACGGCGAGUGAAGCGGCAACAGCUCAAAUUUGAAAUCUGGCUUCGGCCCGAGUUGUAAUUUGCAGAGGAUGCUUCUGGCGCGGUGCCUUCCGAGUUCCCUGGAACGGGACGCCAUAGAGGGUGAGAGCCCCGUAUGGAUGGAUACCAAGCCUGUGUGAAGCUCCUUCGACGAGUCGAGUAGUUUGGGAAUGCUGCUCUAAAUGGGAGGUAAAUCUCUUCUAAAGCUAAAUACCGGCCAGAGACCGAUAGCGCACAAGUAGAGUGAUCGAAAGAUGAAAAGCACCUUGAAAAGGGGGUUAAAUAGUACGUGAAAUUGUUGAAAGGGAAGCGCUUGUGACCAGACUUGUGCCAGGCGGCUCAUCCGGUGUUCUCACCGGUGCACUCCGCCUGGCUCAGGCCAGCAUCGGUUCUCGCGGGGGGAUAAGAACGGUGGGAACGUGGCUCUCUACGGGGAGUGUUAUAGCCCGCCGUACGAUACCUUCGUGGGGACCGA
rnacentral:rRNA from 1 species